rnacentral:ncRNA from 1 species
GAACCGAUGUGUAACUGGCGUAAACAUGGGGUACCAUGAGGGAGCACAUUGUGAACAGCCGUACGCCUGGGCAAAGUAU